GAUGAACGCUGGCGGCGUGCCUAAUACAUGCAAGUCGAGCGAACAGAUGAGGAGCUUGCUCCUCUGACGUUAGCGGCGGACGGGUGAGUAACACGUGGAUAACCUACCUAUAAGACUGGGAUAACUUCGGGAAACCGGAGCUAAUACCGGAUAAUAUAUUGAACCGCAUGGUUCAAUAGUGAAAGACGGUUUUGCUGUCACUUAUAGAUGGAUCCGCGCCGCAUUAGCUAGUUGGUAAGGUAACGGCUUACCAAGGCAACGAUGCGUAGCCGACCUGAGAGGGUGAUCGGCCACACUGGAACUGAGACACGGUCCAGACUCCUACGGGAGGUAGCAGUAGGGAAUCUUCCGCAAUGGGCGAAAGCCUGACGGAGCAACGCCGCGUGAGUGAUGAAGGUCUUCGGAUCGUAAAUCUCUGUUAUUAGGGAAGAACAAAUGUGUAAGUAACUAUGCACGUCUUGACGGUACCUAAUCAGAAAGCCACGGCUAACUACGUG
rnacentral:rRNA from 1 species